UGUGCAAUCACACAGUGCACUGCUCUUCCAAACAGCACACUACUCACAACUCAGAGUGCCGGUUGUCCCCCUGUGCAUAGCUGCACCGAAUCUGAACAGCAAUGGCACAAGCCACGGACAGUGGGUGUGAAGCCAGGACCUAUCAACUCUAUGAUCUUCACUAAGCCGGUACCAAAUAGGAUGGCCCAGACUGGAGUACGGAGUGGAUUCUACAGAGGCAUUGUGGGUCCAUUACCAGAUCCCUGACCUGACAAGCCCCUUGUGGAAAGUGCCUUUGGGCUGGUGCAGGAGGGCAGUGUUCUGUCAUGUCAGCAGCCGGUUUUGACAACCCGGUACAUCACACUACACCGUGAUGCACCACCAACACCGCACUUGCCUCUGGAGUAUGGGUAUGACAUCAAGGAAACCCUGCUCGCUCAGACAGCCUGUGAUAUUUUCUCAAACCGCUGCGCUGAACAAGUUUCCAAAGAACAUGCUGUGUGACACAAUAAAUAUCCUUUAACCUGUUAACCUGUGGCUUCUGGAAGAAACUCGGGUGAGUCAGUCACUGCAAACACAUUUGUAUCAUCA